rnacentral:misc_RNA from 1 species
CUGAGCGAUUGAUCAUGAUAAGACUUGAUAUAUAUGUUAAAGAAGAUCCAAGCAGGAAGCAUAAAAGCUGACACGGAAAAGGUCAAGAACCCUCCACUGAGCCCAGCAACAAGAUAAGCCAAAGUUAAGCAAGCAUACAAUCCAAAUGCUCCCCAAAACCAAGCUUCAUUUGAUAGCACCUCCUUCGAUUUCUUGAGAACUGAAAUAUCUUGAGAGAGGGGAAAACAACUCCAAACAGUCCUUGGAAUCAACAAACCAACAAGUGAGCAGGGAACGAACAUCAUGAAAGCCAAGUAUGGAUGAGCAAACCAGUUCAUCGCAUGACUGGAGAAAAAUAACCUCAUAAUGGAGAAGAUAACAGGGAAAAUAAUUGCCAGUAAAAUUGCAGCAAUAUGAAACAGCAAUCCUUUGACAAAAUCACAGAAGGUUGCAAACCAAGAUCGUAACCCUAAAUCCAGAAAACGCAAAAGUAAUGGCAUAACAAUAAAGAUGGCAAAAGGAAUGCUAUGGAGUAUCACAGCUACUCUUCUUGAAUAGAAUAUCAUGAACCAUGAUAAGUAAUCAAAGAAAACAGCCCGUUCAUCCCUGUAAUCAUUUGAAGUAGCUCUGAGAGCUUCUCUUUCUUGGGAAGUUCGCAGCUUAGAAGAAUUUGUAAAGGCUUUAAGAAUACUGAACAAAUUGUCUCCACGUGCUUGCAUGCUACCAGGUAGUAGUUUGUCUAACGUAUCAUAGGAGGUAUGGUAGUAGUAACCACCAAGAAGAAAGAUAAUAUCCAGGCUGGGAAUGCUUCCAUAAUCUUGGGAAAAUAUUCUGUAAUCUGUGUCUCCAGGAAUAACAGGAAAAACAUCCUGGGCUGCACUAUGUGCCAUGGGGUAUAUUGCAGCCUCAGCAUAGACUAGGGAAGGCCAAGCACCAGGUCCAGAUUGGCAGACUAAAUCCAAACCUCCUGUUCCAGAUGCUUCCACAUUAAUUGAAGCUCCAAUUGAAUCACGCCAUUUAUAUGUCUUCAUGAAGCCAUGUGCACCCAACAUAAAUAGUUCCUCUGCGCCAUUAAAAAGAAAAAUAAUGGGCCGGGGUGGUAUCCAACCAGAGUCUACAAUAAGUCUUGCUAGUUCCAGCAUUGAUGCAACACAUGUACCACAAUCACCAGCUCCAGGUGAACCAAGUGGACUAUCAAAAUGGCCAUUAAUUAAAACAGAUGGAUCAGUGUCUUUUGAAUCUGUAGACGAUAUCCUCAUGAUAAUAUUUGUAUGAUUUCUGUACCCAAAAGAUAUGCUGUGUCCUAAAAAUACCAUAUUGAAGGAGCCAUUAACAAUACUCUCUUCAAUCUCAAUUCUGAUGUUUGAUCCAGCUCUGUCCUCUAUCGAUUCCAACUGCGUUUUAAUAUACGUAGCAGCUUCUCUUAAGCCAGGACGCCCUUCUUGGCGACCGUCUUGGGUCAAAACUCGAACAUGUUCAACGGCUCUGGCCUCGGAGAAGCGAUCAAGAGGCGCAUCGAUCGCGAGCGGCUUAAUGAACUUCAUGUGAACUAUAGAGUAAACAAGGGCCGAUAUGAGAGCGUACAUAAUCGCAAGAGAAAAUAGGAACUUGAAUCCGACGACGUCGGCGGAGCUAAGCCUGAACGCCAUUUCUCGAUAUCUCUUGCUUGUUUGUUGAAAGAGCGAGGGACGAAUCGCGAAGAUAAAAUAAAGAAUAACUUAUUUGUUAAGGUAAGUUUGAUUAGGUGAAGGUGUAUCUAGAGAAUAGAUAUAUG